GUUUAUCUGACGAGUUUUGUGCAAAGCACAAAACAUCGCAUUAUUAUAUGUAGUUUUACAAAAGCAAAACUACUUGAAAAAACUUUUUUCAGGAUUUGCCAAUCCUUUCAAAAAGUUUUUAUAGGA
rfam:Treponema pedis str. T A4, complete genome.